UUUCCAGACUUACCGAUGGGAAAGAAGAAAUGGGAAUGUGACAAUUGUUGAGAAACUCAGGGAAAAAGCAUCUUUAGAGAAGAAAAUGGACAUCAGACAUUUAUUGAAGAAAGCUGACAGUCAACAUAAUGAUGAGAGCUGUGUUAUACAAUGUUAAGGAUACUCGUUCAUCUUCUGCUGUGUGAAUUCUGCUGUGUCAGUCCUGUGGGACUUGAUGCCGGCUGGUACCAGUGUAACGUCUUUGCUUACUAAAUGAUCAAAGGGUGUCUGAAAUCAGCUCAGCCACAGUUGGUUUCCAACGGUUCUCCAGGACAUGGAGGCCACUACGUAACUGUUGCAAUGAACGAUUCUUUUGCCUUUCCACCUGAUGUUGACAAUCUGACCUGUGCGGUACUGAAAACAACUUGCACUGACAUAUCUUAAAAUAUAUCAGUGCCCUUUGUUUUGCCUCAAAAUGCACACCAGUAAUGUUUUUUGUUGAAACCAGUUAUAUUUCCUAAUUAAACUAAGGCCUAGUCCUGGAUUAAGCUAAUCCCCUGUCUGGGAAACCGCCCCUAAAUGUUUUGUGACGAAAAUUUCUUUGAAUACACUUGUCAAGUUCAUUUUAAGUAUUUUUCUAAAUGUAAGAUAACAUGUCAAUGUUUCAGGACAAGUUAAAAUUUUGAUAACUUGCAUGUUUCAGACAUUGUUCUAUUCAACAUGUUUAACACAGUUGCUUUUAAAUUCAAUGAAUUAUUUUAUAAAUAGUGUUUUAAAACGUAUCAAUGUAAUGUAUGUUUAAAGUAAUUAUACUUGCACUUACAUUUAUUUAAAUUAGCAUACAUCUAGCAACAUAAAGUACUAGCAUAUUUUCAUGCAAGCAUUAAUUGUCAAAUAUUUGUUAUUUUACAAAUAAAUAGUUUGUGAACAAUAUUCAAUAGUUGUCUGCUUGAUUUCAUAAUUUAAAGUUUACAAAUCAUAUGUUUUUUUUUCUCUUUAAUAUUAAAACUAAACAAUUACUCGGUAACACACAGUUGUGUUAGAUUAAUAGAAAGUUACACAUUAAUGUGUUUACUGAAGCAACACAUUUUUGUGUUGCAUUUUAUAACACAUAUUCUGUGUUAAAUUUAA